UACGUAGGGUGCAAGCGUUGUCCGGAAUUAUUGGGCGUAAAGAGCUCGUAGGCGGUUUGUCGCGUCUGCUGUGAAAACUGGAGGCUCAACCUCCAGCCUGCAGUGGGUACGGGCAGACUAGAGUGCGGUAGGGGAGUGUGGAACUCCUGGUGUAGCGGUGAAAUGCGCAGAUAUCAGGAAGAACACCGGUGGCGAAGGCGGCACUCUGGGCCAAUACUGACGCUGAGGAGCGAAAGCUAGGGGAGCAAACAGG
rnacentral:rRNA from 1 species